rnacentral:rRNA from 1 species
CACAUGCAAGUCGAACGGUAACAGGAAGCAGCUUGCUGCUUUGCUGACGAGUGGCGGACGGGUGAGUAAUGUCUGGGAAACUGCCUGAUGGAGGGGGAUAACUACUGGAAACGGUAGCUAAUACCGCAUAACGUCGCAAGACCAAAGAGGGGGACCUUCGGGCCUCUUGCCAUCGGAUGUGCCCAGAUGGGAUUAGCUAGUAGGUGGGGUAACGGCUCACCUAGGCGACGAUCCCUAGCUGGUCUGAGAGGAUGACCAGCCACACUGGAACUGAGACACGGUCCAGACUCCUACGGGAGGCAGCAGUGGGGAAUAUUGCACAAUGGGCGCAAGCCUGAUGCAGCCAUGCCGCGUGUAUGAAGAAGGCCUUCGGGUUGUAAAGUACUUUCAGCGGGGAGGAAGGGAGUAAAGUUAAUACCUUUGCUCAUUGACGUUACCCGCAGAAGAAGCACCGGCUAACUCCGUGCCAGCAGCCGCGGUAAUACGGAGGGUGCAAGCGUUAAUCGGAAUUACUGGGCGUAAAGCGCACGCAGGCGGUUUGUUAAGUCAGAUGUGAAAUCCCCGGGCUCAACCUGGGAACUGCAUCUGAUACUGGCAAGCUUGAGUCUCGUAGAGGGGGGUAGAAUUCCAGGUGCAGCGGUGAAAUGCGUAGAGAUCUGGAGGAAUACCGGUGGCGAAGGC